rnacentral:rRNA from 1 species
AACGAACGCUGGCGGCAUGCCUAACACAUGCAAGUCGAACGAGACCUUCGAGUCUAGUGGCGCACGGGUGCGUAACGCGUGGGAACCUGCCCUUAGGUUCGGAAUAACUCCCCGAAAGGGGUGCUAAUACCGGAUAAUGUCUUCGGACCAAAGAUUUAUCGCCUUUGGAUGGGCCCGCGUUGGAUUAGUUAGUUGGUAGGGUAAAAGCCUACCAAGGCGACGAUCCAUAGCUGGUCUGAGAGGAUGAUCAGCCACACUGGGACUGAGACACGGCCCAGACUCCUACGGGAGGCAGCAGUGGGGAAUAUUGGACAAUGGGCGAAAGCCUGAUCCAGCAAUGCCGCGUGAGUGAUGAAGGCCUUAGGGUUGUAAAGCUCUUUUACCCGGGAUGAUAAUGACAGUACCGGGAGAAUAAGCUCCGGCUAACUCCGUG